rnacentral:lncRNA from 1 species
CAGAGACACCCCACAUAAUAUCAAUGACUUAUGCCAAAGUUCUCAUUGAUUCCUUUUCUUUUCUCUAUUUCAAAAACUUAAGUCUCUGAGUUAGUUUACAUACAUUUGGAAUAAUCUCACGAGACAACUACUAAACUUUAGAAUAUUACAAAACCAGGAUUUCUAAGAUGCCCCAAAUAGGUGGCAUCUUAGUUUGAGCUCGUAUGCUCAAAACAUUUGAGUUCAGGACUUGCCACUUUAACCACAGGGACGACAAACUGAACAAUUCAUCUAACAGCACUUGGAUGAGGUUAAUAAUAACAAUAGUUUUAGUUCAGUCUACAAUAUUUCACACGAACAACUGCUAAACUAGUUUAGCAUGGGACUCAAAAAGAAAAGGAACUUCACGGAUUAGAAGCAAUGGCAACAACAUUAUAGGAAAUACAAGCAAAACACCACAAAAUUAAACAGAAGUUCAAGAUUUUUUUGUUUGCAAGUUGGUGACUUCCAACCGAGUGCCGAUGCAGAACACAAAUGGGGAUUGGUCCUAAAACUUGUGAAUAAACAUGUAACCUAAAACGAAUAGACAAAUCAAAAGGUCAAUAUACUUAAAGGAAAUGGAAUUUAAUUUACAAAGAAAACAAAAAUAUCAUGUUUUAGACCAUAACUUUCCAGUCCAAAAAAUCAUCUCAUAGAGAAUAUUUAGCUAUGAAAAAGGGGUAAUAUGCAAAAAUUUUGUUCACGUCUAUCUUGAAGUUAAAAGUAUUCACCAAAAGCCUUCCUUGUAGUGUUCGAAACAAAACAUACUUACAGUCAAAAGCUAAUAACCAGAUUUUGUCCUUCAACUUCCUUAACUUAGAAUCAUUAACUCCUCUUAUUCUUGAACCAAAUUAAAAAAAAUUCAAUUGCCAUCUAAAUUAUUUUGAUGUGAAAAGGUUUAAAAUUUUGCUCCAUCAAUUCGAACUAAAGUAACAAAAGUAAGCAACAAAUCCUGUUUAAGAUAUACAAUAGUUGUAAUUAUAAGAAACCGAAAGUUGAUAAUAGGUCAACAAUGACAUUGCUUCUUCACUCCCCCCAUCCAGUGUCUAGUCUGUUCUUGUCAAAAUCAAAAUUUAAAACACAUGUAAACAGAAGAGAAGUAAUUAUUUAGAUUUUUGUCAAACUGAAUAGGUCCAGAAACAAGAAAACCCACAACGAAUUUGUAUGCAGUCUAGUAAAACUAUAAUCAAGCUGUACCACAAAGAGGUGAUAAACCAAGAAAAAUUCAGGAAGAUCAAACAAAGAGUUUCGGCAAAGUCUAGAGCAAAAUACAAUCUCAGUUGAAAUAUUUUAGGGUAAGUUUCACAAACAAUUAGAAUCAGAAAUGAGCUUAAUAACAACAAAAUUAACAAAGAGCAACGAUUAAGAAUUGAAAAAAUAGGUAAAAGAAAAAAAAAAAAAAAAAAAAAAGAAAGAAGGUCACCUUAAAGAGGAUGAUGGCGACAAUAGCCUGAAUGAAUUGCUGAAAAAGAACGCCCCGAACAACAGUUGAUUUAGAAACCAAGUUCUUCUCAUCCUCAUCUGUCUUGGAGUGCAAUCGAUAAUUGUCAAAGAAACCAAGAAGAAGGUAUAAGCCAGAAUAGAACCAAUAAACGAAAAUAGGGACGAAAGUACCCAACAAAUCAUCGGAGAUGGUGAAUUCCAUUGAAAAGGGAAAGAGGUAGAGAUUUUAGAGAUUGGAAGAGAGAACCAUAAAUCCCCAAAUCAGAAAUCUGCUAGGCGUUGGGAAGGAAAUCGGGAACAACCUUCCCACUCUGGUUUACACGAAGAGAGAUUUUUUCUUUUUCUUUUUUUUUU